UACGAAGGGGGCUAGCGUUGCUCGGAAUCACUGGGCGUAAAGCGCACGUAGGCGGCUUUUUAAGUCAGGGGUGAAAUCCUGGAGCUCAACUCCAGAACUGCCUUUGAUACUGAGAAGCUUGAGUCCGGGAGAGGUGAGUGGAACUGCGAGUGUAGAGGUGAAAUUCGUAGAUAUCUGGAGGAACACCGGAGGCGAAAGCGGUCCACUGGGCAACUUCUGACGCUGAGGUGCGAAAGCUAGGGUAGCAAACGGG
rnacentral:rRNA from 1 species